AUGGCAGCCCAGGAAGCUCCAGUUCAGCCGCCAUCUACGGUGGAGCCAAGCUCGACCCAGAACGCCGCCACCCUGCCGGAGCUCCCCGCCACCGGAUCUGCGCCGCCCCUCCUCGGAUCUGUCCAUCCAUGCCGCUACGAGCCCCGUCUGCCAUCGCGUCCUUCACAUGCCUCCUGCACCGCCGCGGAGGAGCAGCGCCUCGUCCAGUUCGUCCGUUAUCAAGACUUUGGAGUGAUGUAUGCAUCAGAUAUAAGAGCCGAUGAGUGCGCUGUCGGGAUAGCUCAGAUGACCGUCAAAGAGGGGCGCCAGCUUUCGAUAGUUGCUGAAGCGGACGAGCUCGAUUCUUCUAAUGGAAGCACUGAGCAGCACGUCUCGACAGUUCUAGAUGCAGAGCAUGGGUCGAAAUCAUGGACUCCAAAUCUUAUUGACGUGGAAAGGGAAAACCGCGGCUGGGUUCGACGGCACCAGUUCAGUACACGUUGGAAGAAGGAUUUGGAGAGACCGACCCCAUGUGUUCAACGAAAUGUGGAGUGUGGUUUUAAAUGGAGAUUCUUGGUAUGGCGUGUGCGGACGUAA
rnacentral:rRNA from 1 species